UGGGGGAUAUUGGACAAUGGGGGGAACCCUGAUCCAGCCAUGCCGCGUGUGUGAAGAAGGCCUUAUGGUUGUAAAGCACUUUAAGCGAGGAGGAGGGUACUGGUAUUAAUACUACCAGGUACUGGACGUUACUCGCAGAAUAAGCACCGGCUAACUCUGUGCCAGCAGCCGCGGUAAUACAGAGGGUGCAAGCGUUAAUCGGAAUUACUGGGCGUAAAGCGCGCGUAGGUGGUUCGUUAAGUUGAAUGUGAAAGCCCCGGGCUCAACCUGGGAACUGCAUCCAAAACUGGCGAGCUAGAGUAGGGCAGAGGGUGGUGGAAUUUCCUGUGUAGCGGUGAAAUGCGUAGAUAUAGGAAGGAACACCAGUGGCGAAGGCGACCACCUGGGCUCAUACUGACACUGAGGUGCGAAAGCGUGGGGAGCAAACAGG
rnacentral:rRNA from 1 species